UACGUAGGGGGCAAGCGUUGUCCGGAAUCAUUGGGCGUAAAGAGCGUGUAGGCGGCCCGGUAAGUCCGCUGUGAAAGUCCAGGGCUCAACCCUGGGAUGCCGGUGGAUACUGUCGGGCUCGAGUCCGGAAGAGGAGUGUGGAAUUCCUGGUGUAGCGGUGAAAUGCGCAGAUAUCUGGAGGAACACCGGUGGCGAAGGCGGCAUCCUGGACCGGUAUUGACGCUGAGGCGCGAAAGCCAGGGGAGCAAACGGG
rnacentral:rRNA from 1 species